CCUACGGGGGGCUGCAGUGGGGAAUAUUGCACAAUGGAGGAAACUCUGAUGCAGCGACGCCGCGUGAGUGAUGAAGGCCUUCGGGUCGUAAAGCUCUGUCCUAGGGGACGAUAAUGACGGUACCCUAGGAGGAAGCCCCGGCUAACUACGUGCCAGCAGCCGCGGUAAUACGUAGGGGGCGAGCGUUGUCCGGAUUUAUUGGGCGUAAAGGGUUCGUAGGCGGCCGAUUAAGUCAGGUGUGAAAGGUCACGGCUUAACCGUGGUAAGCACUUGAAACUGGUUGGCUUGAGUUAAGGAGAGGGAAGUGGAAUUCCUGGUGUAGCGGUGAAAUGCGUAGAUAUCAGGAGGAAUACCAGUGGCGAAGGCGACUUCCUGGCCUUAAACUGACGCUGAGGAACGAAAGCGUGGGGAUCAAACAGGAUUAGAUACCCGGGUAGUC
rnacentral:rRNA from 2 species